GCACAGAUGGUGUAACGGCAGCACAAGGGUCUCCAAAGCCUUUUGUCCGGGUUCAAAUCCUGGUCUGUGCG
rfam:Oscillatoriales cyanobacterium 'hensonii' Contig_44, whole genome shotgun sequence.